UCAACAUAAAGUUGGUGAGUCCACAGGUUUUGACUCCAUAUAAAAAUAAUACUUUUUCCAUGCUCAAAAGUAUAGUUUUGAAAGUAUCAUUUCGACUCUCCAACAUUUAGUAUAUAUGUUAGGUAUAAAGUUUACUUACCAAAUAAGUAGUUUACCUAUAAGUAUCAUAUACCAUGAAUAUAAAGUGUUUGUAAUUCCAUACAAAUGAUAGUUGCUACGUAUAAAUCUUAUUUCAAUUCUAUACGAGAAAAACGACUACGUAUAAAUCUAUUUCAAUUCUAUAUGAGUAUGUGUGCUAGGUAUAAUUAUCUACUUAAUAUAAGUAGUACCUAGGGUAUAAGUAGGAGGAAACUUAUACUUAACAUUAAUACUUGUAUAACGACAAAGUAUAAUGCUUCUAACAACCUGCUACCAUGAGUCCGUAACCGCUGCUUGAGAACAAAACCUCUGACAAAACAAUACACUCAUGAUUUACCAUGAGAACAAUACACUCAUGAUUUACCAUGAGAACAACACCGCACGCUUCAUCGACGCCGGAAUAAAAAUAAAAGGAACGAAUCUUCACUCGCUUGUCUAGGGUUGUAAUUAACAACCACGAGUGGGGUCGUCAACCCGUAUCUUAUUCAUACAUGACUUCCUCGCUCACACGGGAUUAACGGUUACAUGUCACAGGACUUUCACUAAGAUCCCCAAUCUUAGUUGAUGAAUGAGGUAGCUCGUGUAAACUUUGACGGCUUCCUAUAGCUCUAACAACAAAAGCAUUUUCAUGUCUAAAACCCUAAGUCACUAGACUAUGCUUUUAAACAUUACUCCUAACUUCAUAACAUUUAGGCAGUAUAACAACUAUAUCUUGAAGUAAAACCAGGUUUUAUCUUGACCCAAAACCAAUAAUAACAACAUAUAACGUUCCUAGUUUUAUAUUGACAUAAAACUAUCAAUAACAACAUAUAACAUACCAAGUUUUAUCUUCACAUAAAACCAAUAAUAGCAACAUACUUUAUAACUUAACAUAUAGAACUUCCGAAUAUAACUUCAGAACUAUAUCCCACACAAAAUAUAUAUAGAAUCCUAAGUAUAGCUCAAGAUCUACAUGAAUAUACUACUAUAAAUAGCAUACNUAACUAUAUUCUGGUUAUUAUAACUAUCUACGUUGAUACUAAUAUACUAUCAUAUAGACAUAAUAAUAACGUAUAUAUAAUAUUUAGCAUGCGUUUUCUUCCAAAAAUAUUAGAAAGUGGGGCCGUGAAACUCACCUUAGUAGCUUGAUUUUAUGUAAUCUAAGCAUAAACUGUCAGCGUACGAGGUCGUUGGGGCUCGGGAUGCAAGAGGGCUUCAGCAAAGGAGAGAGGAGAAAGAAGUUCAGGUGUAGGAAUGGCUGGGGUCGAUCUUGCUAUUUAUAGUAAGAUUUUUGGCCCUCACGACGUGAGAAACUCAUUGUUCACGUCGUGAGUUUCAAGCUUAUCUCUUCGUAGACUUGCCAUCCGUCUUGUAGCUUCCGAAGGUGGCAAAAUGACUCCUCACGUCGUGAAAUCUCAAUAUUCACGUUGUGAGUUUGUAUCUUAUCCCCCCGCAGCCUCGUCACACCUUCUAGAUCCAAAAUAUGGUGGUUUGACUCCUCACGUCGUGAGUUUUUAUGCUCACCUUGUGAGUUCAUUCAAUUUAGGGUUUCUGACAGCUACAUCUUCAUAAGGCCAUAACUUUUGCAUACGAACUCCGUUUUCGGCGUUCUUUAUAUGAACGCGUAGGUAACUCUGAGUGCUACGACUUUCUUUUAGACUCGAAUAGCUAAUUCUAAGUCUAUUUUAAAUUCCUCUUGUUAUAAGGCAUUAUAGCGUUAGAAUUUAUCAUAACUUCUUCAUGCGAAGUCAGAUUUAGAUGUUCUCUAUAUUUUUGUAAUCGUAUGAACGUAUAUUUUGGGUUGUAUCAUGAAAGUUCAUACUUUAAAAUGAAUUACAUAGUAAGUUUAUCACAUUACUAUUUUAACAAAAAUCACAUUACAUGAUUGGCAUAAUCAUAUGUGAUUGUUAUUGAUCUAAUUUUGACGGGUGUUACAUUCUCACCCCUGUUAGAAUAAUUUCGUCCCGAAAUUUAUCUUGUGGAUGGGGAAAAGUUAAUUAGUUGGGUAAAAUAUUGUGUAUACGGCUUAUCUCUUGAGGUAACUUGAGUUGGUAUGCGUCAAAACCAAUUCUUGCAAGAAUUUCAAAGGUCCUAUAUACUGUGGGUUUAGUUUGCCUUGUUUCCCAAAUCGAGUCACGGUUUUCCAUGGAGAGACCUUCAAUAUUACUUUAUCUCUAACUUGGAAUUCUAAAGGCUUACGUCUUACGUCAGCAUAGCUCUUUUGAUGAUCACGUGCUGCCUUUAAUCGAUCCUUAAUUUGCAGUCUUCCGAGUUGUCUCGUGGGUUAUUUAUGGCUCGGGACAUAAGGUAUAUAUGUUCUCUGGCAAAUUGUAUGUCUCCAAAUUCCCAGUGCAAAAACUACAGCUCCCAAUUCAAGGUCAUGGGUAGUGUAAUUAUUCUCAUGCACCUUAAGCUGUCGUGAUGCAUUGGUGAUAACUUUUCCUCUUUGCAUCAACACACAUCCCAAUCCUUGAUUUGAUGCGUCACAGUAUACGACAAAAUCUUCUGUCCCCUUUAGAAGGGAUAGGAUUGGUGCACUACACAACAUUUGCUUUAGUUUCUGAAAAGCUACUUCUUGUUUAUCUUCCCAGUUGAACUUCAUAUUCUUCUGGGUUAGUGUUGUAAGUGGCUUGGAUAUUUUGGAGAAACUAUCUAUGAAUUUACAGUAAUAGCCAGAAAGUCCUAAGAAUUGAUGCACUUCUGUUGGCGUCUUUGGUGCUUCCUAAUUCCUGAUUGCUUCAAACUUGGAGGGUUGGACAUGAAUCCCUUUAUUGCUAACUACAUGUUCUAAAAAUUGUACUUCUCUAAUCCAAAAUUCACAUUCGGAGAACUUGGCGUACAAAUUUUCUUUUCUUAGUAGUUUCAAGAUUAUUUGCAAGUGUUGACCAUGUUCUUCCUUGGUUUGUAAAUAUAUCAAUAUAUCAUCGAUAACUACUAUCACAAAUUUAUCCAAGUACGGUUUGCAAACACUAUUCAUGAGGUCCUAGAACAUUGUUGGAUCGUUGGUCAAUCUAAAGGCAUAAGUAAGAAAUCUGAAUGACCAUACCGAGUCCUAAAUAUUGUCUUCGGAACAUCGUCUUCUUGUACUCCGAGUUGAUGGUAUCUUGAUCUGAGACCUAUCUUUAAUCUUCUAGAAUCUUCAGGUGUUUUAGUCUAUCAAACAACGUAUCCAAGUUUAGUUGUGCAUCAGUCUGACCAAAAUUAAACAUAGGUGAUCAGUCUACGUUUAGUUGUGGUUCGGCCCAUGUACAAUAAAACUCGACUAAGUAGUUUAACCUAAAACCUUGCGUUGAAUUCUUACCGAGGGUUUGGGUUUUCUAUAUUUUUAGGUUAUAUACAUGUGUUCUCAUCGCGGGACUGAGUUCAUACAUAACUCUAUAUCUUUCUGUUUGUUGUAUUCAUGGGUAUUAUUAAUUAUUGUUUGUUACUUCAGGUCUAGCUGAUAAGGCACCGGCCAGUCAGGACAGUCGAAAGGGCAGGAUCAUUUUAGCAUAUAGUCGUUCUGAAAUCCAGCAACCCAAAUCGACAUGUCUAUCCUUGCCACCGCUCCCGUAAGUAGUCCUUCAGUAGUAUAAUUACUAAUACUUUAUAUUUGUAGGUUAAGGGAUAUACCUAAACCUAACAGAGUAAGCCCUAAACUAUAGUCGUGCUUUCCUAAGAAAGUACUAAUUCACUAUAGUUAAUAGCUCUGAUACCAAUCUGUCACACCCCGGCCGUCGGCGGAAACACCGGGUAGUGUAACGUCAUUUCUCGUAUCAUAGUUAUCAACUUCCUGAAAACACAUGCAUUUAAAAAUAUGUCAACAUAAAGUUGGUGAGUCCACAGGUUUUGACUCCAUAUAAAAAUAAUACUUUUUCCAAGCUCAAAAGUAUAGUUUUAAAAGUAUCAUUUUGACUCUCCAACAUUUAGUAUAUAUGUUAGGUAUAAAAGUUUACUUACCAAAUAAGUAGUUUACCUAUAAGUCUCAUAUACCAUGAAUAUAAGUGUUUGUAAUUCCAUACAAACGAGAGUUGUUAUGUAUAAAUCUUAUUUCAAUUCUAUACGAGAAAAACCACUACGUAUAAAUCUAUUUCAAUUCUAUACAAGUAUGUGUGCUAGGUAUAAUUAUCUACUUAAUAUAAGUAGUACCUAGGGUAUAAGUAGAGGGAAACUUAUACUUAACAUUAAUACUUGUAUAACUACAAAGUAUAAUGCUUCUAACAACCUGCUACCAUGAGUCUGUAACCGCUGCUUGACAACAAAACCUCUGACAAAACAAUACACUCAUGAUUUACCAUGAGAAACAAUACACUCAUGAUUUACCAUGAGAACAAUAGACUCAUGAUUUACCAUGAGAACAACACCGCACGCUUCAUCGACGCCGGAAUAAAAAUAAAAGGAAUGAAUCUUCACUCGCUUGUCUAGGGUUGUAAUUAACAACCACGAGUGGGGUCGUCAACCCGUAUCUUAUUCAUACACGACUUCCUCGCUCACACGGGAUUAACGGUUACAUGUCACAGGACUUCCACUAAGAUCCCCAAUCUUAGUUGAUGAAUGAGGUAGCUCGUGUAGACUUUGACGGCUUCCUAUAGCUCUAACAACAAAAGCAUUUUCAUGUCUAAAACCCUAAGUCACUAGACUAUGCUUUUAAACAUUACUCCUAACUUCAUAACAUUUA
rnacentral:lncRNA from 1 species